AAUAAGGCAGCCAAGCGGCAGCGUCAAGUCAAUGGGAUUACACAUACGCAGCGAGGGCCAGGUGGAUCUGGAUUCUGGUUUCUGGAUUCCAGCGACAAAUCAAUAAGCUCAGCCAAGCAGCCCUGACAAGCGGCAUUUGAACCAUAAGACCGGAUCCGACCUGCGUAUUUAUGCAAAUGCAGGAAGAAGUUAUGCCUAAUAAAAUUCUGGGGGACCGGGCAAUGUCUUUUGUAUAACAAUGCAAUACUUUUGCUCUCAUAUUUUCGCAUGAUUUAUGAAAGGAGGCGUACAGCAAAGAUGCGAGUCAAGCGGGGCAAUAAAAAAGAAUGUCGCAGUUUUAUGAGCCCCGGCAAAUGGCCAUAAAAUGUCGAGGCACAUAUGAGAAAAUAUAAAUAAAUCGAACGAUUAUUGACAAUUAUAAUGAUAUAUGGAUGCGUACUCAAAAGUCAUAAAUUGGCAGACCGAAAGAAGGGUGCGCCGGCGGAGGAAAUAAUAAAAGGAUCCGGCUGUAUUAGCCAACUGGGCGAUAAUUGGACGAGCUGCGUUGCGUUUGUUUAUGCAAAUCGGGAUACGUAAUAACUCAAUUAGAUGUUGCAACCAUCGGCGGCGGGCUGGAGGGCUCCUUCAGCUCUCUGAUUGCUCGAAUCGAAUGCGGGCAACUGGCACAUUGACCGGGCGAACUGCUCACAUGGCUAUUGAGUGCUGGCCUGCCUGCGACGAGGGUUUUCAGCUUUAUUGAUGUCCCGUUGCUUUGUGGCGGACAAUUGUCGUCAUCGACAGCGACCUCGUCAUUUAAUUGUAAGUGAAACUACGCUCCGUUGUCGUAUAAUAGUAGAUGGGUAUAUGGAAUACGCUCCAUGUGUUGCCAGUAUGUGGUGCGAGUUUCCCCCAUUGUGCGAGGUCAACAACCAGAGAUACGACCACCACUCGACGUCGUCAUACUCCGCCAAUCCAAUCCAAGUACUGUCUCUAGUGCACCACUGUCUUUUUUUCUGUACCCCCACUGCACUCUCCCC